CUACGGGGGGCACCAGUGAGGAAUUUUGCGCAAUGGGGGGAACCCUGACGCAGCAACGCCGCGUGAGUGAUGAAGGCUUUCGGGUCGUAAAGCUCUGUCAAGUGGGAAGAACCUAUGCAGUGUUAAUAUCACUGUAUACUGACGGUACCACUGAAGGAAGCACCGGCUAACUCCGUGCCAGCAGCCGCGGUAAUACGGGGGGUGCAAGCGUUAUUCGGAAUCAUUGGGCGUAAAGGGCACGUAGGCGGCUUGGUAAGUCAGAUGUGAAAGCCCGGGGCUUAACCCCGGAAGUGCAUUUGAUACUGUCAGGCUUGAGUAUGGGAGAGGGAAGUGGAAUUCCUGGUGUAGAGGUGAAAUUCGUAGAUAUCAGGAGGAACACCGGUGGCGAAGGCGACUUCCUGGACCAAUACUGACGCUGAGGUGCGAAGGCGUGGGUAGCAAACAGGAUUAGAUACCCCGGUAGUC
rnacentral:rRNA from 1 species